rnacentral:lncRNA from 1 species
CCUAAUCUAGCUCCCAAACGACGUUGUUUGUCCCAAGAAGGACGUCGUUGCUCCUUCCCCAUUCACUUAAACGACCAAACCCUCUACCCAUUUUCAUAAUCCUAAUUUUCCCCCUUUGAACCCAAAUCCUAACACCCCAUCUCUCCUUCUUUUUUCCCCAUCCGCCACCCGACUCCGCUGACCAGAAAUCUCUUUCCGACGACAAACCUUCACCAAUACACCCAAAAAAUCACCCUGCAAUCUUCACCACCUCCUCAUUCCCAAUCCACCCUCAAUGUCCCCAAAAAAAUCCCUCAAUUUUUUUUCAAUUUAUAGAUCUAAAAAAUAAAAAUCACACCUUUAUUUUCUUUUUUGCUAAUUACCCCUCAAACCGGUUUCCCCCACCUUGAAUCAAACUCCAAAUGAUAAGUCUAUGAAAGACUUGUCAUUUAGUGUCACCAUCUUACCCAAAAUCCGGUCGCAGGAGAUCGGUCAACUUGUCGUUGAUCGGCCAAAUACCCAUAAUGCUUCACUUUUAUCCUUCCUCAUGGUCCAAACUUCAAACCUUAAAGGGCUUCUGACCAAUGAAGUAUUUAUUAGACCAAACAGUUGAACAAGUACUCCUUAGUCAUAAAUCUUUGAUCGAUUUUGAAGCAGACAGAUUUUUGGAGCCCGUAUUUUCUCCAUUACUUCUAAUUUCAAUACCGAUGAUUUAGACUCCUUUUAGUAAUUGUUUCCUAUACCUGUCUAGUUUACUUGUUUGUUUUAUUUUGUUUAUCUUUUGUCUUUGGUUCAAAUUAUUGAAUGGCACGAUAGUUAAAUUCAGUAACAUUGGUCUUAGGUUUGUUUAGCUUUUAAUUUUAAUUGCUCUUUUCAGUUUAUAGAAACAGGGGACGAAAUUGGUUGUCUUUCUAAAUGGUGAUCUGUUUGAUAUAGUUCCAACAUGAUUCGGCCUAUUAUGCUGGUAAGAAGGCCCAAUGGGUAGAAAUCCGAUAUGGAUAUGGGUGACAAGCCUGUUGUUUGAAGCCAGGCCUUUAAUUGCUGGAAUUUGUGAAAAUAAGGAGUUUAAGAGGGAGCAGUUCAGGAAAUUAACUUAGAGAAUCUUUUUGUUAACUGAUUGGGAAGGUUCUAGAGAGGAAGAAAAAAGACUAAAGGGAUAUAAAAUAGUAAAAACAGGUCAGGUAUUUUUGGGUGAAGGGGUAAUAAAUAGAAAGAAAAGGGAUUAAAAAAAAGAAAAAUCUAAAGAGUGCCCUAUAUUUUUUGUUAUAAAAGGACAAGCAUUCUCACUCACACACAUACACCGGGACUCAAGCCCAAAACCACAGUAGCAGUUGAAUACCCUAGAAUUACAUAUAUAAAAACAGAAACAAAAUCCCCCAAAACAAAGCAAAAACAACCCAAAAGUAGAGAUUAAAGGCUAUUUCUGGUUUCUACUUAGUUGUUGCAUAUUCUCUAAAAUUCUCAAGAUGUUUGGGUAUAAGAAGUUGCUGAUUUUGCUGUUCUGGAUUUUGCUGAGCUUUCUUCUUCAUUUCUUCGCCUUUAUUUAGCCUUUUAAACUGUUUUCGUAUGCAACCAGGUAUUGAUCCCUGAAUUUAAGUCCUUGAUUUAUCAAAGUGUUUGAGUUUCUGUGGUUGGUAAUAAAUUUUUAAAUCACUAUUGUCAUGUGCGUUUAAUUUCCUCCAUGAUUUCACUUGUUUAGCUUGAAUUAGAUUCUGAUAACACCAUGUUCAUAACAAAUAAAAUAAAAGUUUGUUUCUGGAAUAAUGGACUAAGUGAGUACUGAACCUAUAAUAGUAUAAAUGCACUUGGUUAUAUGAUUUCUUUCUAUUAGUAAUAUAGAUAUGAAAAAGUUGAGUUAGAAACUGCCUAUUGCUGGAAUUUGUUCAUUUUUCUUGUUGUAAAUGGUGAGGUUGGAAGAUGAAUGAAGAGUUUAGAUCUAUUGAAAGAAAAACCGUGAGGAACAUAAACUAAUUAAUAGAGAUCUAGUCAUUAUAGUACUGUUUGAUUUUAAAAAAAUAGGAUGCUAGUUUACAGAUUUAUUUUUUGUUGUAAAAUUCGAAUUACAAUCUUUGUAAAUAAAUCAGAAUUAUGAUACUGAAUUCAUUGAUCAUGUAUUCAUAUACUUGAGAUAGUUUGUAGUUGAAUUUACACUUUUGAUGUAUGGUAAUUGAUCUUGUCCAAGUCACACCUCUAUUUAAGGUUAUAAAACGAUCAAUUGCAAUAGUAAUAUCCAACAAGGAGUCGGGGUCGAAUUCUAUAAGGAGCUAUACGUGAAGUUUAGGAAUAUAGAUUGUAGUGUAUGAGUAUGAAUGUGACAACCCUGCCAGUCGUCUCAUGAGUUAUCGCUCUGUUUCCCCCAUUUCUGCUUCGUAUUGCUUUGUCUAUCGGUUCUAUAUAUAAUCGGGUUGGUUGGCUCGGUUCGGAGAGGAUUUGGUAAGGUAUGAGACACUUAGUCUCUUUUGAGGAAGCUCAAGUUGGAAAAAUCAACCAUAUAUUGAAUUAUGUGUUAGAGGGCUCGGAUGUGAGUUCCGAUAGUUUGGAUAGCUUUGAGAGGUGAUUUGGGACUUAAAAGCGUGAUCGGAAUGAAUUUUGGAGAUCCAGAGUAGAUUUAGGCUUGAAUUGACGAAGUUGAUAUUUUGGUGAUUUCCGGUUGGUAGGUGAGAUUUUGAUAUAGGGGUCGGAAUGGAAUUUAGAGAGUUGGAGUAGUUCCGUUGUGUAAUUUGGGAUGUGUGUGCAAAAUUUCAGGUCAUUCGGAUGUGGUUUGGUUGGGUUUUUGAUCAAAGUAAUUUAGAAGAUUUUGGAAUUCUUAGGCUUUAAUCAGAUGUGAAUUUGGUAUUUUGAUGUUGUUUUGAGCGUUUUGAAGGUUGGAACAAGUUUGAAUGAGGUUAUGGGAUAUAUUGGUAUGUUUGGUUGAGGUCCCGGGGGCCUCGAGUGAGUUUCAGGUGGUCAAUCGGACCAUUUCAUGAUGUUUGGAGUUGCAGAAAAUUUCAGGUAAGUGCUGCAGAGAAAUGACCUUCGCGUUCGCGAGUGGGUCCUCGCGUUCGUGAAGGGUCAGUUGAGGAAGCUGGGAUUUAAGCCUUCGUGUUCGCGAGGAAGGCUCUGUGUUCGCGAAGGGCUGAGUAAUUGUGCAUCGCGUUCGCUGGGUGGUGUUGCGUUCGCGUAGAAGAAAAUGGGCAGCUGAGCUUCAGGGGAAUUUAUUCAUCGCGUUCGCAAGAGGUGGAACGCGAUCGCGAAGGUUUAGUCUAAAGAAGCAUCGUGUUCGCGAUGGGCAGGUCGCGAUCGCGAAGAGAAUAUUUUGGUCAAAGUUAUUUUGUGCUUCGCGAACGCGAGGCUUUGACCGCGUUCGCGAAGAAGGAUUUCAGGCCUGGGCAGAAGGUUUAAAUAGUCGUCUUGUCUGCGAUAUUGAGGUUUAUUUCUUCCAUUGUUGGUCGUUUUUGGAGCUUUUUGAAGAGGGAUUGAAGGGGAAUCACUUGGAGGUAAGAUUCAUGGACUUAAAACUCUAUUCUAAUGUGAAAUCUACCUAAUAAAUAAUGGAAUCUAAGCCUAAAAUUGAAGAACUAGUGUUUGAAAUUGGAGACCUAGAAAUUGGGAUUUAAGGAGUUAUUUGUGGAUGGAUUUUGAUGCUUUUGGUAUGUAUGAACUCGUCGGGAGAUAAGGAACCUAUUGUUGUGAAUUUUAUUGGAAUCCGAGAUGGGGGCCGGGGGUCGGGUAUUGGUAAUUUGAGGAUUCGUAUCGUAUAUUGCUUAUUUUUGCUUGGGCUUCGUUCCCUUAGCAUAUUUUACGAUGUGAUUCUGAUUUUGGAUAGAUUCGACGCAAGUGGAGGUCGAUUUGACUGGAUUGAGGUGAGUAAUGAUUGUAAAUGAUGUUCUGAGGGUACGAAACCCCAGAUUUGCACAUUGUUGUGCUAUAUUGAGGUGAUGCACCCGCUUGAUGACGAGCAUGGGGUUGUGUAAUGUUGGAGAUUGUGACUUAGUCCGUCCCGAAUGACUAUUUUACCGCGUAGUUGACCGAAAUCUAUUUGCUAUCAUCAUUAUUUGGGUUGAAUGCCAUAUUUGGACCUCGUGCCAACUAUUUGAUUCCUUCGGGGACUUUUAUUAAUAUUUUUUCACUGUUUUGACUUUAUACUUGAACUCAGUCAUGUUAUAUUUCACUGUUUUGGUACUCAGCCAUGUUUACUCAAUUUUAACACUUAAAUGAUCUUUUAAAUGAUAAUUGGGCUGAGAAUCAUGUUUUACUACUGCCGAGUGGCUUGUGAGGACUUUGACUGAGUAAGGCCGAUGGCUUAUGUUGUGAGGAAACAUUGACUAUGAUUAUGAGGCUGAGGGCCUGAGAUAUGUACGCCACAAGAUGGCUUGUUGAUAUGAGGCUGAGAGCCUAGUGAUGAUACCUCGAGAUGGCUUGAUAUUGCGCUUGGGUCGUAAGGGGCCCUCCAAGAGUUUGCACACCUCCAGUGAGUGCAGGUACCCAUUGUGAUGUGAGAUAUAGCCCGGGAGGCUGGUAUUGUUGUGAGAUAUUGCCCGAGGGGUGGAUUUGUUGACACUGUGCCGAGGGGCGAACCUUUAUGUGUUUAUCUUUCUUAAUUGCCUGUCAUUAUCUAUUUAAUUGCUGAAAAGGUAUUUUCCCGAAGUUUAAACUGAACUUAAAUGAUUAUUUGUAUAUUUACUAAUUCACUGUUUUUAACGAUUUUACUGUUUCAUUAUAGCAUGUGUUGUGCCUUACAUGAUUUCCUGCUUUCAGUCUUUAUUUAUGAUUAUUACUCACUCAGUUAGAGUAUUCACUUUACCCCUGCACCCCAUGUGCAGAUUUAGGCGUUGCUGAUCCUGCCAGUGCGAGUUGAGAGCUCCCUACAGACUUCAGAGUCCACGAGGUAGCUAUUUGGUGUCCGUAGUCCCGUGUUCUCCUCCUUUAUCAUCUCUAUCUCUUUAUCAGACAUUUUGUAAUAGCUUAUAGACUUUUCAGACUUCUUUUAGGAUUAAUAGAUGCUCGUGACUAGUGACACCCCGGUAUCGGACUGUGUUGGAUUGUAUUUCCGCAAAUUAUGCUAUUAUAUACUACUU